UACGGAGGGGGCGAGCGUUAUUCGGAAUUAUUGGGCGUAAAGGGCGCGUAGGCGGCCCGGUAAGUCAAAGGUGAAAUCCCUCGGCUCAACUGAGGAACUGCCUUUGAAACUGUCGGGCUUGAGGCCGGGAGGGGGUAGCGGAAUUCCCAGUGUAGCGGUGAAAUGCGUAGAUACUGGGAGGAACACCAGUGGCGAAGGCGCUACCUGGACCGGUUCUGGACGCUGAGGCGCGAAAGCGUGGGUAGCAAACAGG
rnacentral:rRNA from 1 species